CCAGGAUAUGGCCAUGGAAAUGGGCUGCGGGCCCAGCCAGGUCCCUGCAGUUCGAGGGUCGCUCCACUGCUCCUCCCCAGGCUUCCCACUCCAGGGAUUCCUUCGGACAGAGAGGGUGUCUGGGGCCUGAAAUCCCAGCCCCCUUCCGCAGUACAGAAUGGCAAGUUCCAAGGGCACCAGCCUCCAAAUGGCUAUGGACCAGGAGCAGAACUGGGUUUCAAUGGCGGCCUCGAGCCACAGAAAAUUGGUUUUGGUUAUGGGAAUGGUGUCCUGGGAGCCAGGGUCUUCUCCGAGGCCCACCUACAGCCAGGGUUCCCUGGGGCCAAUGGCUUUAGGAAUGGACAGGCUAGGCUGCUGUGGGGCUCUUCCUGGCCCACCCUCCAGACCUGGGGACUGGCUUGAAGCCUGGAUAUCAGGCUGGAGGCGAGUAUGCUGA